CUGUGGUUAAUCCAUAUGCCACCGGCAUCGUCAGUUUUGACUUUUCCAAUGGUUCUUAUUAUUGAACAGCAGCGCCGGUGAUAGUCAACGCGUUGUCGAUUCCACCCAUUAUUUGGCUUAGAAAUAAAACGAAAGUAAUUUAUCCGCCAUAGUAUAGUGAUACGAAACCAAAAAACGUAAAAUUAUUCGUUUUGCAAUCAAGUAUACACGUUGUUUUGACGUAAACAAAGACAACACAUGAUA